rnacentral:rRNA from 1 species
UGGGGAAUUUUGGACAAUGGGCGCAAGCCUGAUCCAGCCAUGCCGCGUGCGGGAAGAAGGCCUUCGGGUUGUAAACCGCUUUUGUCAGGGAAGAAAUCUUCUGAGUUAAUACCUCGGGAGGAUGACGGUACCUGAAGAAUAAGCACCGGCUAACUACGUGCCAGCAGCCGCGGUAAUACGUAGGGUGCAAGCGUUAAUCGGAAUUACUGGGCGUAAAGCGUGCGCAGGCGGUUUUGUAAGACAGAGGUGAAAUCCCCGGGCUCAACCUGGGAACUGCCUUUGUGACUGCAAGGCUUGAGUGUGGCAGAGGGGGAUGGAAUUCCGCGUGUAGCAGUGAAAUGCGUAGAUAUGCGGAGGAACACCGAUGGCGAAGGCAAUCCCCUGGGCCUGCACUGACGCUCAUGCACGAAAGCGUGGGGAGCAAAACAGGAUUAGAUACCCCUGGUAGUCCACGCCCUAAAACGAUGUCAACUGGUUGUUGGGAAGGUUCCUUCUCAGUAACGUAGCUAACGCGUGAAGUUGACCGCCUGGGGAGUACGGCCGCAAGGUU